AUGAGGAACACCACCUUCGGUCUACUCCUCAUCUGCGUGGCCGCGUUGCAUGCAGAUGCAUCGCAAGAGGCUCAGCUCAGAAGGUUCAUCCGGUCUAGACGGAACAGUAGCAAUGCUAACAACAUAGAUGAACCAAGGGUAGGAAUCACUAACACUACUAGUAGCCUCAUAGAGUACUCUACCCAUGACAUGGCCAAUCUGAAGGCCGCCGACAAGAUCCAUGUGCUGCCAGGGCAGCCUAGCGGCACCAUCGGCUUAAAUCAGUACGGUGGGUACGUGACUGUCCACAAGAAGGAUGGCCAGGUGCUCUUCUACUACUUCGUCGAGGCAGCCACCGAUGCGGCGGCGAAGCCACUCCUCUUGUGGCUCAAUGGAGGUCCUGGAUGCUCAUCGCUUGGCUAUGGAGCAAUGAUGGAGGUGGGCCCGUUCCGCGUGAACAAGGACAAAAGAACUCUCAGCGAAAACAUGCAUGCUUGGACCAAAGUGGCCAACGUGAUCUUCCUGGAAUCGCCUGUCGGCGUCGGGUUUUCAUACUCCAACAAGACCCUUGACUUCCACUUGAGCGGAGAUAAGAGUACGGCGGACGACACAUUUGUCUUCCUCCUCAACUGGCUCGAGAGGUUCCCGGAGUACAAAGGCCGUCCCUUCUACAUCUCCGGGGAGAGCUACGGCGGCCACUAUGUGCCACAGCUUGCAGCCACCAUCCUCAGCCACAAUCUCGAAAAUAGUAGCACAAGAACUUCGAUAAACCUACAGGGUAUCCUGGUUGGCAAUCCAUACCUUGAUGCCAAUAUGAAUGCUAAGGGGGAAGUUGACUAUCUGUGGAGCCACGGGAUGAUAUCAGAUGAGGCGUGGGCCAGUAUCACCAAGAAGUGCAGUUUAGACCAGCGAGGUUACAAAGCAUGCGUCACUGAUAUGCACGGUGCUGAUCAAUCUAACAUCGAUCCCUACGACAUAUAUGCAUCGGUUUGCCUGGAAGGGCCAAUUGAAACACAGUACCCCAGCCGCUAUACACCGAGGUCGUAUGAUAUUUGCAGCGAUCGUUACGUAUACGUGUACCUCAAUGAUCCUCGGGUGCAAAAGGCUUUGCAUGCUAGACCAACAGAGUGGACGCACUGCACUUCCGAAAUUGCUUGGAUGGAUGCACCGGCCUCGAUGGUGCCAACGCUUAAAUGGCUGAUAGAGCAGCACCUGCCCGUGUGGCUGUACAGCGGCGACUUUGACUCCGUAUGCCCGUUCAUCGCCACGAGGUACACCAUCAAGGACCUCGGCCUCAACGUCACGGAGCCAUGGCGCCCAUGGAUAGUGAACGAGCGCGAUGAGGUUGGAGGGCACGUUCAGGGAUACACGGGGGGGUUGGUGUUUGCAACUGUGAGGGCAGCCGGGCAUGCGGUCCCAUCCCACCAGCCCGAGGCAGCGCUCGUGCUGGUCAGCUCCUUCCUGAAUGGAACGCUUCCCCCGAGCGAUAAGUGGUGGUGA
rnacentral:rRNA from 1 species